UAUCCUGGGAAUGUUUGUCUCUUCUAGUAAACACGGUGAUGUGAGGUGAGCCUUGUACCAGUCCUCUAUCAGGAAUGCUUUAAGAAGGAAUAAAAAAAGGUGCAGCAAAGUGACUUACUCCAAUUGUUGGAAUCCUCACUGCACAGCAGACUGGUUGAGCUCCCUGAGUCUUUUGGCAGCAGGCAAGGUUUAAUGCCUUGUGAAGCAAAUUGGUUCCACCUAACUUCUGUUUCUGAGCUGUAAUAACAAUUGCAGGCUCAUUUGCUAUCUAAAGAAGCUGUCUAGGUACAUCAGAGGGCUGCUACUUUUUGUCUUUUCAUUUCUGAUGAGACAGAGACCACAAAAAUUGCACUUCAGCUGGUAAGAUCUGUUGCUUGAGUAUAGGCAUACGUGCAUAGUUAGCCAUGGAAAACUGAUCCCUAGUUCCAUGUGAUUGACCAAAAGUGCCGAAGAUUCUUUCUGACUAUGUAAAUAGGAUCUUUUUGACUGAUGUACAGAGACAAAUGGGAGAAGAGAAAUGCAGUAAAACACCCAUUAGCUACUGAAAUGUCUUCUGGAGCCAAACUGUGAUUAGCUUUGCUAAUUAGUUGGCUCCAAGUGCUUUGAUUGGUUGCUGUGCUUGAUCAUCGCAUGGCCUUUCACAGCAAUGCCUGGAUUGUAAUCAAUCAAAAGCUCCCUACUAAGGCUAUUUGAAUUGUUCCUUUGCUGCAGAAUACCUUGCUUCUUUUUGAUGUCAGCGCAUCACUUGAGAACCUGUAGCAGGAGGUCUGAACGGUGGCUUUGCAAUAUCUGUAGGAGCAGAGAAAUAACAGGUGGCAAUGGUAGGUAGCCCUCUGAUGUAAGGACUGUGUGGAAGAAACCAUUUCCUGAAAAUACAGUGGCUUCCAUCUGCUGGAAGUGCAGAUUGGAGACAGCUGGAGGAGAAUCCAAUGAUACAAUAUCAAAGAGAAUAUUACUGCUAGAGCAGGCCGGAGAUUGAUAGAGAAGUAACUGAAACUGAGAGUAAUACUGAGGAUAAGCUUUGGUUCCAUUUUUUAACAGACUUUUGAGACAGGGGGAAUUGUCAAAUAACCUAUCAUUACAGAUCAGUACAGGACAGUAUGUGUUUCCAAGGUGCAACUGAGGUAUUUGCCUGGCUUUGACCUGCCUUUUUGGAAUACUGUAUGUAACAAAGCAGUAUGUUUUCCUCAAUUGAUGGUAUUUUGUGUAAAUAGUGCUUGUCUUAAGCAUAUACAAACUCUUGCCUUUUCCCAUGCACAAAGUUUUUGUUAGAAUGUUCUGUUGCUCCUUUCAAAAGUAGCAUGUAGCUUCCUAUCUCCUGUAGUGCUUUUUCUGUCUGGCUAUAGAAAUGUUUUAACAGCUUGUCUGGCUGCCAAAGUUCUGCUGUAAAGAAGUAAAGGACCAGAACCACUUAAUGAUUCUGGGUGCAACUAUCAUGUUCCCCAUGCACUCCGUUUAUGUGAAACACUGCAAAUCUCAGAGUUGCCAGAAACAUCCAAAUUAAUCUGAAAGGAUGAAAAUAAAUCUCUUUACUGGAUCUGUUCCAGGCAGCAGUUCCUAAUAUAGAAUAACAAUAGGUGUUAUCCCAAAGUAGGCUUAAUAUUCAAUAAUUUCCAGACCUCUAAUGUUCUCCUGUUUCCCUAAGGGAAAAAAAAAAGUCUUACGAAGAAUCAUUUCUACAUAUGUGUAAGCAGUGAGGCAUCAGCAAAAAAUAGAAUUGGGAAUUGCAGAUAGUUCUACAGCAGUUUCAAAAUACGUGUGUGCUUAUUAUAUGCUGCCCUUACUUUGCAAAAUUUUGUUGUGUUCCAUAACACUGUAAUUGUACACUUUGUUAUUGCCAUAGGUUUUCUUUUUUCCUAUUUAUUUUCAUGUAGCAAAGCAGUCUUUUCAUAAAACCUUAGUUCUGCGUCUUUUCUGUUUUAGCCUGCAUUAUAGUUACCCCUGGGAGUGUCUUUGAAGGCAAGGCAGGUACUUGUACAAUUUAUUCAGUGAUACUGAGGAUCAGGAGCAGUGCCCUGGUGACAGAACAGGACCUUUGCAGUUCCCUGCUCCUUUUUUGCAGUGUCCUAAAGUUAGACAUCAUCAAGCAAACAGUCUUUGUGACUACCCAGAACAGCAAGGCACAAUUCCCCCUGAUCCAGGAUGCCUGAAGAGCAGUAGCAUGAGCAACCACAGAAGACUGUGUUUGCAGGGAAUAAAGAAUGAGAAAGGGGCCACAGCUAAACAGGCAGCGCCUUCAGGAAAGAGAAGCUGCUUGGGAAACAGUCUGCAGUCCUUAUAGAAAGAAAAUUCCCUAGCAUGAAGGGAGAUGGACUGGUGAUGCUGGUGGCGGUGAUGCUGGUGAUGGAGGAAGGAUGUUGGUGAGCUACCGGGAAGGAGGAAGAAUUGGUUUGGAGAGUGUGGAGAACACAAGAAGGUUUGUGAAGUUCUUGAGAGAGGGCAUGGGUUGUUUGGUGUGUGUUGCUGUGAGCCUGUGUGCAUCUUAGAAGUAAGCACAGAUGGUUUCUUGACCUCACCAUCCCCAUCCGCCAGCCUGUAGAUCAGAGCUGUGCUGGAGAGCUUUGUACUGCUGACACAAAGUGUGUUGGAGGCAGGAUGAUGCUGCUGGAGAAGUUAAGCCCAUGUGUGUUCCUGUAGACCCACCAUUGUGCAGCCAGCUGAAGUUACCUUUGACCUAAACUGAGAGACUUAACAAAUAGAAGGUGAAUCAUCUGUUUCAUUAAAUCAGAGGCCGCUUCAAGCACUGCAGCCCAAUUAUGCCACAUGUUGCACAUAGCCUGAAAAGUGUUGGUGCAGAAAUAGGAUCCAUGUGGGCAGAUCCUUAAUGGGGAACACAUCUUGCUGAAGAACGGCCUCAGAUAUCUGCCUGCACAGAUCAGGUUAACAGGAUUCAAACCUCAACUCGUAAUUUAUAGUGUUGAGCAGCCCUCAAGAGGAGGGAACAAUCUGUAGGAGGUACAGCAUGAAGUGGACAGUACAGUGAUGUGCAUUUCCCCUCCAACAAGCAAGGCUUGCUGCCUUUGCUUUGGUGUAAGGCUGUGUGCACCAGGAAUAAGCAAGAAUAUCAAGGUCUGGCCUGGAUUCCUCUCUUGAGGAAAGAGACAGAUGAUAUCAUUGUUGGAGUUGUUUGGACAUCACAAAGGUACUUACUGAAAUGAGAAAAAUAUGGUUUCAAUUCAUUUUGUAAUAAUAAUAACAUAACAGAAUGCUAUGAGGGCCAGGAACCUCACUGAGAAAAGAACCUUUGCAUCCUGAAGAACUUUGCCAAAUGAAUAAGCAUUUGUAAGUCACUUUUUAAUUCAUUUUUUGUAUGUAUACAUAUGUAUAUAACAUAUGCAAAGCCAGAUGUAAAGAAGUUCCUUGCUUGUCUUGCUGACAUCAGCCUUCUUGUCCAGCUAUGAUGAAGAAGCAAUCCCAUGGUGAAGUGCACACAGCUCAUUCCUGCAAGACUUUGCACUACUCACAGCUUCUCCUGAACCCUGCACCCUAAGAUCCAAGCAGAAAAUAACGAGCAAAAUAUUAGCAAAAUCCAUGAGUCUGAAUCACCAGUUUAGUCUUCAUUCUGACUGAAGAGAUGAAGUGAACAUUGGCUUUAAAUUUUCAAGUACAGCCAGCUAAGCUACACCUUCCAAACAUUGUGCAUAAGGCAGGGGGUAUCCUGUUCAAUGUCAGAAGAGAUGGCAGAAAGCUUGGAGGAAUUACUGCUUGGCAGGCAAGAGAAAAGAACGAGAGCCCAAAUGCAACUGGCCAGCUGGGAGCACACUGCUGCUCCUGCAAAGUUCUUCAAGGAGAAAUGCUGACACAGCCAUUUCCAGCACUAUUUGCUGCUGCAAGGAAUACUUAAGGGAGCGGAUGGACUGAUGUGGGUCAACCACCUAGUGAUAUUACCAUCACAAUCUUGUUAUUUUUUUCUUGGCCUGCAGUUUGUGGGAGGAAAAAGCUCCAAUAAACAAAAUUCGAUUCUCCUCCUGCUCAUCUUUGGGAUUUUUCAUGCAUUGGGUUCCUUCCCUUGCUGGGAUGGGACCAAUUCGUGGGAAGAUUUGGACUUCACCCCAAAAAGUGAUUCAGCCUUUCCAGUCCCAGACCAAGCAGCUGCAACUUUCUGUGCCAGUAGUGUUAGCUCACCUAAACCAACCUCCCACCCCCAAUAACCAGCAAAUGCAAAACAGUGGAAGUUCCUGAUUAAAAAAAUAGCAUUGAAACACAUCUCAAAACUAUGAAGCACUGCAUUGUCAUCCUUUAAUUGCAGUAACAGGAGUUCCAAAUGUUUUAAACACUUUCCCAUCCACAAAGUCAAAAUCUUUCACAGCCUACAGCUACUGCAAAAUCCAAAUAUUGGAAAGGCAAGCUGUACGAAUUGUGUCAUUUAAAUCAUAGUUUAAGAUGCUCCUAGACUUCAGUAUUGUGGUGGUGAUGUCAAGGCAUCCAUAUUGGCCAUGGCUGCAUUUGUACCAACCAUGGGCGUUCUUUUCAUGGUGAGCUCAGAGGUUGAUGACACAGAGACAAGGCACAGAGUUCUGUGGGAAUACAGUGAAAUUUGAAAGCUAUUCCACAUAUUUGGGCUCUACAUCUUGUUUGGCCACACACAGGCCUAUUUAAUGCCUUUGUGGGCCAGAAUCUGCAGUGGGGACAGCCCCACUGAGACAGCCAGUGACUCAGGGUUUGCAGUUGCACAAUCAAGAUUCAAGGCUGAAGGCAGAGAUCUAAUCUUUCACAUUUUGGGUGUAAAAUCCUUGAGAAAUGCAAAAUAAAGGCUAAUAGUGGCCACUGGAAAUUUUUAUGUUAAAAUGUAGAGGGGAAAAAAAAAAGGUACGCAAAGAGUAAAGUUAUUGCUCCAAUAUGGACUACCUCAGGUAUUGGCUGAUCAUAAGCAUCCAUACUCUGCAGUGACAACUCCAUCUCUUCAUGCAGGUGCUUUUCCCUUUGGCCUUGUUCCCCAGUGUAAAUCAGACCACAGUUUGGCUCAGCUGUGGUGUCAGGUAUCUGCCCAGUACUUGGUUUCAUCCCAGCUCCUGGAAGUUAACCAUAAAUAAAGAUAGACUGUCAUGAGAAGCAGCAGGUAGACUGUAUUUUUCCCCCAGACCCUUGUGGCUUGUGUCAUAAGUCUGUCAAAUACAAAUGUUUGAAAAAAUCCCUUCUGACUACAUUAAUUUUAAUUAAGUAUCAAGCUGGGAGACUAUCAGAAGAGAAAGAACUGAGAUAGCAAUGCAAUUUAAAACCCAAUUAAAAUGCAUUUAAGUUUCUGUGUUCUGACUGUUGUUUUGAUCUGCACCAGUGUGAGGUGGGUUGGGAGGCUUCUUUCAGAGAGGGAAUUUUUGACUCAGAUCAGGGAGGGAAGACAGGGUAGGAUGAGUUUCUCUUCUCUGACACCUCUUUUUCACUGUGUUUUUUCAGUAAGAGACAUAGAAUUCCUUGAGGAACCACAGAAUCACAGAACUGUAGCGGCUGGAAAGGACCUCUGGAGAUCAUCUAGUCCAAAUCCUAUACUAAAGCAUGUUCCUCACAAUAGGUUGCAGGUUCCCUGGUGUAGGUUGCAGACCUAUAAUCACAGCUCUCUUCCUUUCCCAACAAACCAUCACACUCUUUGUGCCCCAUAGGUAAUGAACUUGCUCUAUCUUCCUCAUAGGAAAUAUCAUUUGAUCAGCCCUUCCUUUCCUUACUAAACAGCUAGCACUUUUUUUUCCCCCUUUCAGAUAAUUAACACAUCUAGUUCAACCCCAAACACUUGCUAGUGAAGUGUAACCAUCACAUGGUUAUCUUGCUUCUAGAGCAGGGGCAGCCUGGUUGAAGAUUCAUGAUCCUUGGGGUCCCUUCCAACCCAGGCCAUUCUAUGAUUCUGUGAUUCUAUGUUUUCAGAAGACCUGCUUUCAUGGAAACGUUUUCUACUGCCAUCUGCUUUGAUGAUAGCCAAUGUUUGGGUGCCAUGCUUAUGCUGUCACAUCACACUGUGUGCCCUGUCUGAUGGAAGAUGUGUAACCUUGCCAGCUUUGCAGUUGCAAUUCAGUAGCCCAUAAGCACACUUGCAGAAGGAUUUGUAUAGAGCUGGAAGCCAAUCUAUAAGGGGUCUACUACACAAAGGGAGUUGAGGCUUGGGCAGUACCACCCAAAAAAUACCUUAAAUUGGGCUUUCUGGAUCUGGGAUCUUUGAUCUUCACAGAGUGAAGAGGAAAACCUACUGCACUGAGAAGGUAGGAUUCUGGAAAAGAUGACCAAAACCAGUGCCAAACUCAUCUGGGAUCAAAGGUACUAAUCCACAUUUGAGAUAUCAUCUUUAACAGUGGUCACCAUUGACUACUCCCAAGGAAUUUGUGAGAAACUCCAUAGUUGUGGGAAUCGCCCACUUGACAAAGAUACAAGUCUGAGAUGGUUUGUAGCUCCUAGGCAAGAAGAGCUCUAUCUGAUCCAAAACUUUGAUGAUCUCUUUGAGGAGACACUCACUCACCUCUAAACUUUGCUGAGAUCUUGGAAUUAAAUGAUUGGAAUGGGAAAAAAAUGUGGAAUUUAAACGUUUGAAAUAUCUUUGCAAAUUCCUGCCCCCAGGCUGGUGCUCAGAGACAGGUCUCUGUUUCUACUUGUCAAUUAGAUUCUUACUUGAAUUAUUUACUGUAUCAUUACUGAAGAUCAAUUCCGUAGGCUAAAUCCUCUCAAGGCUAUUAGUGACUAGAGAAGAUAGGAGAAAGGAAAAUGGUUUCAAACUAAAAGAGGGAAGAUAUAGAUUGUAUAUAAGGAAAAGUGUUUUAUGAUAAGGGUAGUGAGGCAUUGGCACAGUUGCCUGGAGAGAUGGUGGUGUCCCAUCCCUGUAGACACCCAAGGUCAGGUUGGAUGGGGCUCUGAGCACCGAUGGAGCUGUGGGUGUCCCUGUGCACUGCAGGGGUGUUGGACCAGAUGACCUUUAAAGAGUCUCUUUCAACUCAAACAAUUCUACAAUUCCAUGAAAAUGGAGUCCCAUUCAAACAGCUUAAGCUGGUAAGGAAGAGAAUGAGGCUGCAAGCAAAGAGAAAGUGACAAGCAGGACUGAUGUGAGGAAAGCAGAAAAGGAGAAGGAGUAGAUGUCUUGAACUGGAACAAGUUGAGACACUGAGGUUUCAUAAAUAACCUGUCUGAGUUUGUUAAAAGAGUCCCAAGUCCCUUCAGGUACUGAGAAAGCCUAGGGCUGUGUUGUUUGCUGUGACUGGUGGACAUUUAAUAAGAGAAACCGAACACUGCAGGAGUUGGGGUCAGGAGCUGCUUCCUCAUAGGGGUUUCCUGGGAUCCAAGUCCUGUGUCACCUAAAUCUGCACCCAGUGCAGAGGCCACAGCAGCAGAGCAGGAAUGGUGGGAGAAGAUGGCACAACACCUGCAUGGUGCCGAGAGCAAGUGGUAGAUGCAGGAAAGUUAAAUACCAGGCAACACUCAUUUCCUAGCAGUAGCCCAGGGAUAGAACUGAAUAGCCGUGAGAUGAUGGCUUUGCCAGCCACCACUUUGCACUGCUGUAAUGUUUUUGCAGUUGAACCAUCUGGUAUUACGGGUAGUUGUCACAGAUGUAAAAGUUAUUGGUUGAAACCUCCUCGCAGCCUCUCUCUCUUUCAGUCUCAUCCUUGUUGCCCUGGAAUAAAAUCACAGUAUGGCCAGGGUUGGAAGGGACCUCAAGGAUCAUCAAGCUUCAACUCCCCUGCCACAUGCAGGGCCACCAACCUCCACAUUUAAUAUCAGACCAGUCUCAGGGUGUCAUCCAGCCUGGCCUUGAACACCAAGGAUGGACGGGGCAUCCACAGCCUCUCUGGGCAGCUGCUCCAGCACCUCACCACUCUCAUAGCAAAGAACUUCCUCCUGACAUCCAACCUCAAUCUGCCCUCCUUCAACUUCAAACCAUUUCCCCUUGUCCUGCAGUUAUCUACCCUUUCAAAGAGUUGACUCCCCUCCUGUUCAUAGGCUCCCUUUAUGUACUGAAAGACUCAGGAAGAAUACUUACUGGCCUCAUGAAGAAAUAAAACACGUUGUAAUCAUGGCCAUGGCUCUGGUGCAUUCUUAGAAUGGCAGUAAAUAUUUAUGUAGAUAAUGAAAGCAUCAAGAAUUGAAAUAAUUGUUUUCACGUAACAAAGAAAAUAAGAAUUUCUUAUAAGGGAGAUAAAUCUUCUUUCUCGGGUACAAAUCUGAUGUAAAACUCCAAUUGUGCUUCUGCAGGGGAUGUUGAUUUCCUUUUAAUAAUUCAUGGUGUUUUUGUCUUAGAGGGCAGUGAUAGUAUUUCUGAACACGUAGUCCAAAAAAAAUUAAAAUACUUGAGUUUUCUUUUCAGAA